rnacentral:rRNA from 1 species
GAUGAACGCUGGCGGCGUGCUUAACACAUGCAAGUCGAACGGGAUCCAUCAGGCUUUGCUUGGUGGUGAGAGUGGCGAACGGGUGAGUAAUGCGUGACCGACCUGCCCCAUACACCGGAAUAGCUCCUGGAAACGGGUGGUAAUGCCGGAUGCUCCAGUUGAUCGCAUGGUCUUCUGGGAAAGCUUUUGCGGUAUGGGAUGGGGUCGCGUCCUAUCAGCUUGACGGCGGGGUAACGGCCCACCGUGGCUUCGACGGGUAGCCGGCCUGAGAGGGCGACCGGCCACAUUGGGACUGAGAUACGGCCCAGACUCCUACGGGAGGCAGCAGUGGGGAAUAUUGCACAAUGGGCGCAAGCCUGAUGCAGCGACGCCGCGUGAGGGAUGGAGGCCUUCGGGUUGUAAACCUCUUUUAUCGGGGAGCAAGCGAGAGUGAGUUACC